CUUAAAGGCGUGAAUAAAUGGCCAAACAGAGCCUGCAGUGCCCGCACAAUAGAUAUCAAAGCUUUGUGGAUUAUGAAUGGAUCCCACUCUUUGGGUUGCUGCACACGUCUGCGCCAGCCUGGCAGGAUCGGCGGAGCGCAAGUGACACCUAUUUUUUGGAGCUAUGAGAAAAUUAGUGCGAGAGAUCGAAUCAUUCCAUCCAAUAUAAAUUACUUAUUUUAUUUUUGUAACUCAGCUGCUCCUCUUUUGUCCUGCGAGAGAUCGCUUCAAUGCCACCCAACAGACCGACUCCUUUCAGAUUCUGCCGAAUGUGCCAAGUGCCCUUUCAUACCCCCAAAUGAUCCCUCGGCCCCAGAACUGAUUUCAGCAACUUCGUUCUGUUUCACCUGCCAGCAGGUCGCCAGAGGUCCGAGAGCCACACCUGCUAGAAAACAGUGCAGGAACUUAAUUACCAUAUGAAAGGCGUGACCUGUGGCCAGUCUGAGUGUUGAUGAGGUCAAAAUCUACUUGGUUCAAAAAAAAAGUGCUUCGGUUUUCAUUCUGCACCUGAUCUACAAGAAAGGGAAUUUAAGACAGAACAAUGAUGAGAAAACAUGUUAUAAAUCUGAAGACAAAGGGAAGAAUAUUACAACGAAAUGUAUUGUCAUUAUAAGAAUCCCAUAACUGCCUCACAAUAAAUAAUAAGUGAGGAUUAGCAAAGAGAAUCCGAAGAAGAGAUCAGAAGAGAGUACUUUGAUUCAGUUGAAAAGUGUCGCAAGACUGAGAACUGGGAAGCUUGGUGGGCAAAGGGUUAUUAUGACCAGUACGAUGGGUGAACAAUUUGGACUUGAUAGGCAAGCAGACUGGAGCUCAAAUACUAAAGAAGACAAGCCAAGGGAGCUGCAUUCUUUUCACAUUGAUGUUGAUCCACCGAUAAGGAGUGGUACAAAAGCCAUAAUGGCUUCACUAAAGGGUGAAGUGAAAAUUCGUCAGAAACAUCAUCAGCAGGGACAUUGACAAUUUUCUAACAGGUGUAGACGACAAUUCGCUAAUGAAAGAGACCAUCGCUAGUUUCACGCCCUAUCAUCAGAGUGAACAACUGCGUGGGACCUGGAUUUCAUAUAAAGCAGCAACUCUGCUACAAGAUCAAGAAAGCAACAUGGUAUCAGGCAUUGUAAAGAAUACAUUUAUGUAAAGCUAUGGCAGGAUUUAUUUAACAGUGACAGCGGAUAUAGAGAGAGAAGUAAUUGGAGGGGUUUUUGAUACUAAGCCAGUGAUCCCCAACCAGUAGCUCGUGAGCAACAUGUUGCUCUCCAACCCCUUGGAUGUUGCUCCCAGUGG